rnacentral:rRNA from 1 species
GAUCCUGGCUCAGGAUGAACGCUAGCUACAGGCUUAACACAUGCAAGUCGAGGGGCAGCAUGGUCUUAGCUUGCUAAGGCCGAUGGCGACCGGCGCACGGGUGAGUAACGCGUAUCCAACCUGCCUUACACUCUUGGACAGCCUUCUGAAAGGGAGAUUGAUACAAGAUGUUAUCAUGAGUAAGCAUUUUCGCAUGAUUAAAGGUUUACCGGUGUAAAAUGGGGAUGCGUUCCA